rnacentral:rRNA from 1 species
UACGUAGGGGGCAAGCGUUAUCCGGAUUUACUGGGUGUAAAGGGAGCGUAGACGGCGUAUCAAGUCUGAUGUGAAAGGCUGGGGCUUAACCCCGGGACUGCAUUGGAAACUGGUAUGCUCGAGUGCCGGAGGGGUAAGCGGAAUUCCUGGUGUAGCGGUGAAAUGCGUAGAUAUCAGGAGGAACACCGGUGGCGAAGGCGGCUUACUGGACGUGCACUGACGUUAAGGCUCGAAAGCGUGGGGAGCAAAC